CUCACGUUUAACAAACAGAAUAUGGUAGAAGUGACACUGUGUGUCAUAAAAGGUCAUAAGAGUCAGUAUAGCUUCUAGCUGGUACAUUCUCUGUCUCUCCCUCACUGGA